rnacentral:rRNA from 1 species
GACGAACGCUGGCGGCGUGCCUAAUACAUGCAAGUAGAACGCUGAAGGCGGAGCUUGCUUCUCUGGAUGAGUUGCGAACGGGUGAGUAACGCGUAGGUAACCUGCCUGGUAGCGGGGGAUAACUAUUGGAAACGAUAGCUAAUACCGCAUAAUAGUAGAUGUUGCAUGACAUUUGCUUAAAAGGUGCAAUUGCAUCACUACCGGAUGGACCUGCGUUGUAUUAGCUAGUUGGUGAGGUAACGGCCCACCAAGGCAACGAUACAUAGCCGACCUGAGAGGGUGUACGGGCACAGUGGGACUGAGGAACGGCCCAGAGUCCUACGGGAGGCAGAAGUGGGGAAUAUUGCAGAAUGGGCGCAAGUGUGAUGUAGGGAAGACGCGUGGGGGAGGACGGCGUUAGGGUUGUAAACUCAUUUGGCCAAGGACGAAGCGUUUUGUGACGGUACUUGGAGAAGAAGCACCGGCUAACUACGUG